rnacentral:tRNA from 1 species
GUCGCGAUGGCCAAGUGGUUAGGGCGUUGGACUCGAAAUCCAAUGGGGUGUCCCCGCGCAGGUUCGAGUCCUGCUCGCGACU